GUCGAGCGAACGGACGAGAAGCUUGCUUCUCUGAUGUUAGCGGCGGACGGAUGAGUAACACGUGGAUAACCUACCUAUAAGACUGGGAUAACUUCGGGAAACCGGAGCUAAUACCGGAUAAUAUUUUGAACCGCAUGGUUCAAAAGUGAAAGACGGUCUUGCUGUCACUUAUAGAUGGAUCCGCGCUGCAUUAGCUAGUUGGUAAGGUAACGGCUUACCAAGGCAACGAUGCAUAGCCGACCUGAGAGGGUGAUCGGCCACACUGGAACUGAGACACGGUCCAGACUCCUACGGGAGGCAGCAGUAGGGAAUCUUCCGCAAUGGGCGAAAGCCUGACGGAGCAACGCCGCGUGAGUGAUGAAGGUCUUCGGAUCGUAAAACUCUGUUAUUAGGGAAGAACAUAUGUGUAAGUAACUGUGCACAUCUUGACGGUACCUAAUCAGAAAGCCACGGCUAACUACGUGCCAGCAGCCGCGGUAAUACGUAGGUGGCAAGCGUUAUCCGGAAUUAUUGGGCGUAAAGCGCGCGUAGGCGGUUUUUUAAGUCUGAUGUGAAAGCCCACGGCUCAACCGUGGAGGGUCAUUGGAAACUGGAAAACUUGAGUGCAGAAGAGGAAAGUGGAAUUCCAUGUGUAGCGGUGAAAUGCGCAGAGAUAUGGAGGAACACCAGUGGCGAAGGCGACUUUCUGGUCUGUAACUGACGCUGAUGUGCGAAA
rnacentral:rRNA from 1 species